CCGGCAUUUUCAUCCAAAUGAAAAAAAAUACAGUCCCUGUAUAAUGAAUGUAUUAAAAAAAUUAAUACCUGUAUUAUGAAGAACCAAUAUGAUAUCAAGGAAAAGAAACUAAUGUUUAUGUAGUGGUCAAUUUAUAAAUUAUCAUAUGCUAACGUAUAAAACCAUAUCGGUGGUUUCGUGGCAGAGAGCUCACAUUGAGUGGUGCGGAGAUUUGUGUUUAACCGUAUACACUGUUUCGUCCGGCUUGUCCUCUUAGAACGCAAGGCCUGGAGCAAAAAAAAAUAUAUAAGGAGAUGAGGUAUGAUUGUCAAUGAGACAACUAUCUACCAAAGUUAAAAUAAGGCGGAUGUUAUCUAUAAUAGGCAACCGUAGGGCCUUUAACAAUGAGAAAAUAAAUAUCGUAUUGUCGUUUAAAAGGUCCCGACAUGAAAAACAAUUCAAUUAAGAAAACUAACGGCCUAAUGUUUACAAAGCAAGUCACGAAAAAUAAAUAUGACAGACAUAAACCAACGAAAAUCACUGAACUACAGGUUCCUGAAUUGGGACAGUCACAUACAGAAUGUGGCGGGGUUAACAUGUUUACUGGCACCAAACCCUCCCACUAAACUCGGACAGUGGUGUAACAGUACAACUAAUGUCAACAUAAGAACAAACGUUGAAAAGGGUUUAUCACUCAUUAGAUCGGUACAAAGUAGAAAAAACAUCUAACAAAACACAGACCGGAUGUGGCAGGGAAUUUAUACAUCCCUCACAACAAAAAAGACACAUAGUUCAGAUCUGAGAAUACUCUCAAAGGCUGUUGUCGGCUAUAAAUCAAAAUAAUUUGUACGGAUCAGAUGACACAAGCAUUUCCCCGGAUUGUAACCUUGUCAGCUAGCAAUUAAAAAUACGACUUUUUAUAACACAUUGUGUGUUUUAUUGUCUUGAAUGUUCAUGCAAUAUUUGUCGCUGGACAUUAAACAUAGCAUAGCCAACACCUUGGUUAUAUUGUAUAAAGUAAAAUAACAACAAUACCGAACACCAAGGACAAUUCAAAUCGGAAAGUCCCUUAACAAAUGGCAAAAUCGGAAAGUCCCUUAUCAAAUGGCAAAAUCGGAAAGUCCCUUAUCAAAUGGCAAAAUCGGAAAGUCCCUUAUCAAAUGGCAAAAUCAAAAGCUCAAACACAUCAAUAAACGAGACAGUUCAG
rnacentral:lncRNA from 1 species